GUCCACGCCCUAAACUAUGUCAACUAGUUGUCGGGGAAGAAAUUCCUUGGUAACGAAGCUAACGCGUGAAGUUGACCGCCUGGGGGAGUACGGCCGCAAGGUUAAAACUCAAAGGAAUUGACGGGGACCCGCACAAGCGGUGGAUUAUGUGGAUUAAUUCGAUGCAACGCGAAAACCUUACCUACCCUUGACAUGCUAGGAAGCCCGCAGAGAUGUGGGCGUGCCCGAAAGGGAACCUAGACACAGGUGCUGCAUGGCUGUCGU
rnacentral:rRNA from 1 species